rnacentral:tRNA from 1 species
CAAAAAGUAGUUUAUAAAAAUAGUAAUUUUGGGUAUUACUGAAAGGGCUCUGGCUCUCUUUUUGA